UUAGAUACAGGUGCUGCAUGGCUGUCGUCAGCUCGUGUCGUGAGAUGUUGGGUUAAGUCCCGCAACGAGCGCAACCCUUUUCCUUAUUUGCCAGCGGGUCAUGCCGGGAACUUUAAGGAUACUGCCAGUGACAAACUGGAGGAAGGCGGGGACGACGUCAAGUCAUCAUGGCCCUUACGGCCAGGGCUACACACGUGCUACAAUGGUCGGUACAAAGGGUUGCUACCUCGCGAGAGGAUGCUAAUCUCAAAAAGCCGAUCGUAGUCCGGAUCGCAGUCUGCAACUCGACUGCGUGAAGUCGGAAUCGCUAGUAAUCGCGGAUCAGAAUGCCGCGGUGAAUACGUUCCCGGGCCUUGUACACACCGCCCGUCACACCAUGGGAGUUUGUUGCACCAGAAGUAGGUAGUCUAACCGCAAGGAGGACGCUUACCACGGUGUGGCCGAUGACUGGGGUGAAGUCGUAACAAGGUAGGCGUAGAUGA
rnacentral:rRNA from 1 species